UGCAAGGCCUCAGCACUGAAGCAUGGUGGGGAUCUGGCACAAGACCCAGCCUGGACAGAGAUCUUUGGUGUUCUCUCUGUGGCCACCAUCAAGUUUGAGAUGCUGAGCACAGCCCCACAGAGUCAGGUGAGCCUGGGAGCCUGACAGGGCCAGUGUUGGGGCACAGGGUGUGGUGGCUGCCUUCUCUCUCUGCAGCUGUGCUUCUGUUCCCCAGCUCUUCCUGGCUCUGGCUGACAGCAGUAUCUCCACGAAGGGCACAAAGAGUGGCACCUUUGUCAUGUAUAAUUGUGCCCGUCUUGCCACACUCUUUGAGAGUUACAAGUGUAGUAUGGAACAAGGUCUGUACCCCACUUUUCCUCCUGUGAGCAGUCUGGACUUCUCACUGCUACAUGAUGAGGUGAGUGUCCCUCCUGGUAGCUGGCACAAGGAGGCCUGGACUUCCCCUCCCAGCACCUUUCUCCCCCACAGGGUGAGUGGUUGUUGCUCUUCAACAGUAUCCUCCCCUUUCCGGAUCUGCUGAGCCGGACAGCAGUGCUGGACUGCACAGCCCCGGGGCUCCACAUUGCUGUACGCACAGAGAUGAUAUGCAAGUUCCUGGUACAGCUCAGCAUGGAUUUCAGCUCCUACUACAACCGGGUACACAUCCUGGGGGAGCCUCGACCACACCUCUUUGGUCAGAUGUUCGUCCGCCUGCAGCUUCUGAGAGCUGUGCGUGAGGUGCUCCAUACUGGCCUGGCUAUGCUGGGUCUCCCUCCACUGAGCCACAUCUAAGGCCACAGAGGCUCCAAUACCUGGGAAUGUUCACAAAGUCAUCAACUGGAAAAAAAGCAAAAACUCACGGCCAAAAUAAAUUGGUACUGUUUGUUACAAAGUUCUGUCUUGUCAUGGGGAGUGGGGCAUAUUCUUUUGGCAGCACUCCACUCACCUUCAGCUCCUGCACCGACAUCAGGAACCCACGGCCACCACCUCCUCCCCUCAAGGCAUGCUGAGCAUGGGCACAAACAGCCCAUCCCUGCUCCAUGCUGUCUGUGAGCAGGCCCCAUGCCCAGCACGCCAGCCACCGCAGGAUACCUCAGUCGUACCAGUUGUAAACCUCAAGCCCCUGACCCCCAAGGGCACAACGGUGGCCAAACUCAGGGCUCACAGGCCAGCAGUCCAUGUCAGCCACAUCAGGCACAUGGAAUACAGUGCUAUUCAUGAAGGUGGGUUCACCAUGCCCCAGACGCCAGAAGGUCAGCCGUUGAUCAAUGGAGGCUGAGACCAUGAUGCUUGGGCUUAGGAUCUUGAGGCCUGUCACAUGGGCAGCAUGUGCACAGGGGACAGAGUAUUCCUCUAGCACACGCAGCUGAGGUACCAGCCCAGCCUCUCCCACAGCCUCUUCUAGCUGUAGCAUCUCCACAGCAAGCACGAAGACAUGGAGGGAUCCAUCUUCACUGCCACUGGCCACGAGAUGGUGGCCCUCACGGGUGGGCAAGGUGUGCAGGCUGUUGAUACCACAGCUGUGGGCCUGGAGAGUCAGGGAGGGGGUGCCAAGCCCUGAAGGAAGAGGAAGAGGGUAGUUGUCAGGGCCCCGCCUGCCACAUGUGUGAGGGCUAUGUGACAGGCGAGGAGGGGCAGCCAUGGUUGCACAUUAGCUACUCACGGUAGGGAAGCCCAGGAUCCACUGGAGGCUCCAGGACAGAGGAUUCAUGGUCUAGCAUGGUGGUGAGAUCCCAGAAGGCCAGGCUGCCAUCAGUAGCUGCGCUGCACAGGAGGAGCCUCCUGAGAGCCAGGAAAAGACAGCCUGGUCAAUAACAGAGAUGAAGCUCAACAGGAACCCCCCCCCCCCCCACCCAGCCCAUGCAGGACCAUCAUCCAGCCCCUCUCACCGCCUCUGGUUGGGUGCCUCGUGUGUAAAGGAGUGGACCUUGAGGACACAUCGCUUAUGGUGGAAGGUUUCAGCAAGGAGCUGCAGAAUCCGCCCAGAAUCCUGCAAAAGAAAGAGCCUGGGGGGCGGGGGGUGGCCCAGUUCAGAACGCAUCCUAGCCAACCUUACUUCCUUUGUCUCCUGUCCCACUGGGCCCUAUGCUCUCACCUUACGGCCCCAUCACUACAGGCUGCAGCCACAAGGGGGCCAAGGCUGGGCUGGUCAAGUUCACACACAGCAAGGGACAUGUACCUGCAGAGACAACAUGCAGCUGUCAGGUGGAGCCUGCAAGCCUGGGAGCAUCUGCAUGACCCAUACCACACCCUGCCCAGGAGCAUAUAUUACCUGGUCUCUGGGUCUACCUUAACCAUCCGAUGCCGAUUGCGUUGCCGGUCCCAAUACUCAUCUAGCCGGUGGGACGAAAGGUGCAUGACAUGGCAGGCGAGGCGGCUUGGGGUGCUGGGGUCCGGAGUAACCAUGAUGCUGAAGCAGUGCAUCUCAGCCCGCCCCCCGGCAGACACCACAUGGGCAGUCAGGCCUGGCUGAGGAUCCUGAGGGCCACCUGGGGUGCCAAUGCCCCACACAGCCACAGCACGUACCGAGGAGAUAUGGUUACAAACAGCUGUGAGUGCGUGGGCUGAGCCUGUGGUUGUAGGGAGUGCUAGGACACAGACAGUAGUGUCCUCACUACAUGUGAUCACAAUGUCAGUCAAGUCGGGCCCCUCACUGCCAGGCUCCAGGUCAUCAGGCUGCAUGAAGCUGGGCACUCCAUAUUCAGGCCCCAGGGUAAUGGUGCCCACACGCUUUACACAAGUGAUCUCACGGC
rnacentral:lncRNA from 1 species